GACCUGGCUGGGUGGUCUUGCCGAAAGGUAAGUACUGCACCGGUUGGGUCUUUCCUUCUGGGGAACCAGUGUGCUCUUAACUGGGUGCAUUGGGGAUCCAGGACUUUUACUUUGAAAAAAUUAGAGUGUUCAAAGCAGGCCUAUGCCUGAAUACGUUAGCAUGGAAUAAUGAAAUAGGAC
rnacentral:rRNA from 1 species